GGUAUCUUUGCACGAGCGUGACAAACUAGCCUUCAUCAAAAGCCUAUGCGAGGACAUGCUGGCAUUUAAAAUAGUGCCAUGCCGCACUUGUUAUCAACAAACAACGGCAUGCCACACCGGGGACCCUUCAGCGGAGCCAGAGGCGUCAUUAACGCUUGUAGAAUAUGAAAGAUCAGCGUGAGUUGAGAUGUGGUGUGAGCAGAGAAACUCAAGUCAGGGAGAUCUCGGGUAGGGGGAUGCGGAGGCUCAGCAGAUGAGUGCCGGGCUAGCGUCCAAGAGCAUACUCCGCCGGGAAGCCUUGUUCCCCUACAGCGACG
ensembl:lncRNA